AACCUCUGCUUGUUGUAAAAGUUCAGCAUAACUUACUUUUAGAAUCUCUCAUUAUUGCAUAGUUAUUUGAUAUGAAUAUCUUAGCAUAAUUUUGUCUAAAAUUUAAUUCUUUCAUCAAAGAUUACCAUAUGAUGUUCCAUUACUUUCGUUCUCCUGACAGAAUAUGAUGUCAAUCUUUAACUGCUAUUAAAGAAUGAUAGUACUUGGUAUAUUAUGACAGUUGCCAUAUAUCAUCUCCAUGUAUUUUCAACAGAUGCAGAUGUUGGUCCAAAUUCUGCUAGGCCGAUUGCAUUUAAAAUUAGGACCAUCUUUUACAACAUUACAUGCAUGUUGGAAGACUUACUGCAAAAGCUUUUGAAAAGUGUUCACAGUUAGCAGCCGGAACAUAUGACAAGACUGUUUGAGGAGCAAAAAAAUGAGGCUGCUAGUGUCGACAUCAGAAUUCUGCUAGGGCUACUCCUUUUGGAGUAACAAGGAUCUGCAUCCUGCAACAUUUACUUGCAAGAAUAUAUGAAAAAGCAGGUAUUACAAACUGCAUCAAAAGGCUGUCUCUUCAAGGAGAAAUGAAGUGUUGUGAGGUAUGUAUUUUUAAUUGAGAUAUUUGUUAAGCCUCACAAUAGAUAUGAUUAUGUCUGUUGUUUAUUGGAAAGUAGAAGUCGAUGAAUAUCCCUUCCCAAGAUUCCUUCAUGUGAUGUUUUUUUCUUGACUUUCGUUCUCCUGACAUUAAUUUGAUGUUGAUUGUUAACUGAUGAAAAUUUUGAGAGAUAUUUUUAUUGGUUUAUUUUUAUGCUUUACUAUUUUUAAAUACUUUUUAUUAACAGGUAGAGAUGGGAAAGUGUUUGAUGAAAUGGUUGCUCUUCCAUGGAUCCUUCUGCGAUAUCGGCAGGCAACUAAGGGUUGGCAAUGGAGUUCUCGAAACAGCUGGCUUAGCUUUUCAUAUCAAGGGGUUUGAGUUGUAAUACUGAUCUUGGAGGAAGUUCGAUCAAGCCUGUGGAAAAGAGCAAUGACAUCUCAUCACAGAAGAUACUGGUUGAUGCUGGCUUAUAUUCAUGUGAGGUGUCAAAAAGCAUGAUGGGUUGUGAUUGGUGCUAUAAAAAUGCUUAUUUAUUCCUAAUGUAAUGUAUAAUCCUUGUGUCACAAUAUGUUUUACAAAUGGAAAUCCAUAAGUUUUGCAUUGUAACCAAUUUCCCAUUUUCUCCCUUGUUCUAAAGGUCUAUUUUAAUGCCAAUGGUCCCACCCAUUUCUUUUACAUGUUGGUGUAUCUGCAAUUGGCUGUUUCUGUAUUUAUGUGCAUUUUUUAUAUUCUGAAUUAUAAAUAUAUUGGGUUUAUACUUAGGCAUACUGAUUUGUUUUGUGUAUAAAUAAACUUCAUAUCUA
rnacentral:lncRNA from 1 species